rnacentral:rRNA from 1 species
GAUGAACGCUGGCGGCGUGCCUAAUACAUGCAAGUCGAGCGAACAGAUAAGGAGCUUGCUCCUUUGACGUUAGCGGCGGACGGGUGAGUAACACGUGGGUAACCUACCUAUAAGACUGGGAUAACUUCGGGAAACCGGAGCUAAUACCGGAUAACAUUUGGAACCGCAUGGUUCUAAAGUGAAAGAGGGUUUUGCUAUUACUUAUAGAUGGACCCGCUGCGUAUUAGCUAGUUGGUAAGGUAACGGCUUACCAAGGCGACGAUACGUAGCCGACCUGAGAGGGUGAUCGGCCACACUGGAACUGAGACACGGUCCAGACUCCUACGGGAGGCAGCAGUAGGGAAUCUUCCGCAAUGGGCGAAAGCCUGACGGAGCAACGCCGCGUGAGUGAUGAAGGGUUUCGGCUCGUAAAACUCUGUUAUUAGGGAAGAACAAAUGUGUAAGUAACUGUGCACGUCUUGACGGUACCUAAUCAGAAAGCCACGGCUAACUACGUGCCAGCAGCCGCCGUAA